UGGGUGAUGCCACUUACUGCAGAAGAGCUCCGCACAUAGCUAGGAGGGAUGCUGGCCACUGCACAAUUCUUUUGCAGCCAAAGAAGAGCCUCUGUGCCACAGAUUGAUGGCGGAACCUAGUGCAGCUGUUGGGAGCUGAUGGUACAGAAGAACAGAAGAAUUUCCUGGGCUGGGCUGGAGCUGAGAGAUGGUUUCAGAUAAACUUCACCCCGCAAUUAAGGACCCACAGGAGCUGGGAGGAAGCUGGAACCAAGAGAAAUGACUAGCAACAGAUUCCAAGCUCAGUGCCUAUCCUGCUGAGAAAUCUUACCCUC